rnacentral:rRNA from 1 species
GUCCCUAUCCGUCGCGGGCGCAGGAAAUUUGAGAGGAGCUGUCCUUAGUACGAGAGGACCGGGAUGGACACACCGCUGGUGUACCAGUUGUUCCGCCAGGAGCAUCGCUGGGUAGCUAUGUGUGGCAGGGAUAAACGCUGAAAGCAUCUAAGCGUGAAGCCCCCCUCAAGAUGAGAUUUCCCAUUUCUUCGGAAAGUAAGAUCCCUGAAAGAUGAUCAGGUAGAUAGGUUUGGAGUGGAAGUGUAGCGAUACAUGGAGCGGACAAAUACUAAUCGAUCGAGGACUUAACCAAAA